rnacentral:rRNA from 1 species
UACGUAGGGUGCGAGCGUUUAAUCGGAAUUACUGGGCGUAAAGCGUGCGUAGGCGGUUCGUUAAGUUCGUUUGUGAAAGCCCCCGGGCUCAACCUGGGAAUGGCAAUGGAAACUGGCGGGCUGGAGUAUGGCAGAGGGGGGGUGGAAUUCCGCGUGUAGCAGUGAAAUGCGUAGAGAUGUGGAGGAACACCGAUGGCGAAGGCAGCCCCCCUGGGCUGAGAUUGACGCUCAGGCACGAAAAGCGUGGGGGGAGCAAAACAGG